GGAAACCUGAACAUGGAAGAAAAGGGAAAACGGUUGUUAGAAGUUUAAAUUCUGGAGGGGAUGAAGGUACCCUGGUUCCAUAGAGGGCUCUGAUUACAGCUUUCCUCAGUUGUUUACACACAAAUUCUGGUACUUGAGACACACUGACCACAACAUAUAACUCAUUCACCACCCCCAUGAACCAGUUCUGCUAAACUACAAGCACAGUUCCUGUUUUACACUCAAACUGUAGUUCUAAAGCAAAUCUACGUCAAAACACUACACAUAAUUGUCUGCUUUUGGCACAAUUGUCAUGCAGAAAAUAUCCUGUUUUCACAAGGAACACACUGCUAUUCAAAUAUGCACGCUGACUCAUCACAAUGGAAAACACCUGUCACACAGUUUUACAAUCAGCAAUCAGCGCGUUAGCAUAAAAGGGCAACAGGUGAGCUCUUCUGUUUUGGAGCAAUGGAUGCCAACAUUGGAAACAGAGGCAGAGGCAGAGGAGUGAGAGUAAGAGGAGGAGGACGGGGAGGAGGAAGGCCAAGGACCAUAAUCUCUGAUGAGAUCCGAGCCACUUUGGUUGAUCCUGUGGUCAGCCAUGGUCUGACAACGAGGGAGGCUGGACAAAGAGUACAGCCACAUUUGAGCAGGUACACUGUGGCAUCCAUCAUCUGGACUUUCCGAAAUGAGAAUAGGUAAGAAAUCUUCUCUCACUAGAAAACUGCAGUACUGCAUAUCAAUACGAUCAGUAUUCAAUGAGUACAGUAGUAGUAUCACUUGAUUCCAUUAGUUGUCACAAUUCAAUUCAAUUCAAGUUUAUUUAUAAAGCGCCAAAUCACGACAAGAGUCGUCCUAAGGCACUUCACAUUCCAAUACAGGUCAGUUCAUUAAGCCAAUUGUUGUGGGUGUGAAAUGUGUUCUCUGCAUUUGACCCAUCCUCUGGGGGAGCGGUGGGCUGCAGACUCGGCCGCGCUCGGGAACCAUUUGGUGGUUUAACCCCCAAAUCCAACUCCUUAAUGCUGAGUGUCAAGCAGGGAGGUGUUGGGUCUCAUUUUUUCUAAGUCUUAGGUAGGACCCGACCAGGAAUCGAACCCUGAUCGCCCAGUCUCAGGACGGACACUCUCCACUAGACCACUGAGCUGGCCAGUGUAUUGCCUGUGGUCUGUUUUGCAGGACAGUAAAAAAUACUGUAAUGAUGUUUGUUUCCAGUAUUACUUUGUAUUCACAGAAUUUUCCCAUUUGUCAGAACUGAAAGGUUACCAAAACAAGGUGGUCGGGAACAUCUUCUGUCUCCUGAACAGGAAACUGAAAUCAUGAACAUGUUCCUAGAAAGCAGGUCUACAGGGUGCCAUUCAAACGCAAUCCAGAAAGAGUCAAAUAAUUGCGAUAUAACUAUGUGCAAAGAGUCCUUGAGCUAGAGGCAGCUGCAGUGGAGCACCAGUUCACCUUCAUUGAUGAGGUUGGAUUCAAUCUCACAAAAAGACGAAAGAGGGGAAGGAAUAUCAUUGGCCAGCGUGCCAUUGUUGAAGUCCCUGGCCAGCGCGGAGGGAACAUCACAAUGUGUGCAGCGCUUGGCUACCAUGGCAUCAUCCAUCACCAUGCUACCCUUGGCCCCUAGCUCCGCCCAUCUGAUCACAUUCCUGGACACCCUACAUAACACACUCAUUCCACCAGACCAUGUGGAUGGUCCAGAACAGCUCAGGUUUGUGCUGAGAUGGUGAGGUUACCACACAGCCACUGACCUGGACCAGACUCCGCUACAGUGUUAGCAGAACUUGGUAAUCAUGCAGAUUGUGAUGUGUAAAACUGUAAUUUGAUCAGUGAAAACAGUGUUUUUGUUUUCUUUCAUAAAUGUGAGAAUGAAACUGUGUUAAAAUGUUGAAACUGAUCUUGCCUGACCGGGCAGAUCUGUGGGUGCUCAGCCCCCCUAAACCUCUGAUGCUAGAAUCGCCCCUGCUCGGUACUAUAGCAUGUUCUCUCUAAGCAUGAUUGUUUUCACACAUUCAUUGAUAAGCAGGUUGGGGGUGGGGGGACAUCUCAAGGGCAUCAACAUGGUGCCAGAAGGGAAUUAAACUUCUCAUCUACCAGUGGCUCGAGUCUGUUGUUCCAUCAACGUUUUGCCUGGGAAGGAAAUAUCCACAGGGUUUACGUGUCAGGACUAAAUAAUCUAAUCUAAUCUCAGUGGUAGAUUAAACAUGAAGCAGGUUGUCAUUUACUAAACACAACGUGAGCCUAAAGGAAGGAAACUCCGUCCGUGGCUGCAGGCAGAUUUUCUGGAGCUACUUUUACUUGGAUGGAAGCAGCUGAGAGGAGCGUGUUUGUUUACUUCCUGUUGUUGUUGGUUGGGAACCAUAUGAAGCUUACCAACAACAACAUCAGAACUCUAACUUUAUUAACAUUGUGAGUAAAACCAAACACACUGACCCAUCUCCCUGGUUCUAGCAGUACGCAUCAUUACUUUCCUGAAUCCUGACUCAAAGGGAGGAUCAAGAUUUACCAGCACCUCUUUUUUCUGGUCUUUAGGUCUCAGCAGAUGGUGUUAAAGCUGUCAGUGGAGAUAACAGUUUCACCUUUAAACACACACACACACACACACACACACACACACACACACACACACACACACACACCGGGAGAACCUGGUCCCAAUGGUCUGAGAACUCAGAGACUGCCCCACUUUAUCUGUUACUGGUCUGGAUGUGUCCUUGUCAGCGUCUGAAGAUAAGACUCUUGGAUGUGAAGGAAGUUGACCAGGAGGCCUUCCUCUCCUGCUUCCUAAUGAGAUGUUUGAAAUGUUCUGUAUGAAGUCACACAGCUCUGUUUAGGAGCAGGAUUCAACAUCACCAAUCACACAGCAGAUACCAGGCUGCUCUGCAAACAUCAUCAACACCAGUAACAAUGCUCUCCACAUCACACCUGUCUCUUAUUUCCCACUGUAACCAGUUUAACACCUCCAGUUCCUGUCUGACAUCUGCUGUCACUUCCAGUAACACCAAACCUUCUUCCUCUCAUCAGCAUCUCACCAUCCACCCCUACAGCCCAACAAGCACUGAUGUGUGUGUGUGUGUGUGUGUGUGUGUGUGUGUGUGUGUGUGUGUGUGUGUGUGUGUGUGUGUGUGUGUGUGUGUGUGUGUGUGUGUGUGUGUGUGUGUGUGUGUGUGUGUGUGUGUGUGUGUGUGUGUGUGUGUGUGUGUGUGUGUGUGUUCUCUACAUGGUAAUUAAAUCUUUCCAGGCUUCCAUUUUAGAUAAGUUUACCCAUAAGACACCUCUCUCUCCCGCUCUCUCUCUCUC